GACGAACGCUGGCGGCGUGCCUAAUACAUGCAAGUCGAGCGAAUCUGAGGGAGCUUGCUCCCGAAGAUUAGCGGCGGACGGGUGAGUAACACGUGGGCAACCUGCCCCUAAGAUUGGGAUAACUCCGGGAAACCGGUGCUAAUACCGAAUAGUUUCCAACACCUCAUGGUGUUGGAAGGAAAGUUGGCUUCGGCUAACACUUAGGGAUGGGCCCGCGGCGCAUUAGCUAGUUGGUGAGGUAACGGCUCACCAAGGCAACGAUGCGUAGCCGACCUGAGAGGGUGAUCGGCCACACUGGGACUGAGACACGGCCCAGACUCCUACGGGAGGCAGCAGUAGGGAAUCUUCCGCAAUGGACGAAAGUCUGACGGAGCAACGCCGCGUGAGCGAAGAAGGCCUUCGGGUCGUAAAGCUCUGUUGUCAGGGAAGAACAAGUACCGUUCGAAUAGGGCGGUACCUUGACGGUACCUGACCAGAAAGCCACGGCUACUCGUGCCAC
rnacentral:rRNA from 1 species